rnacentral:rRNA from 1 species
AUUGAACGCUGGCGGAAUGCUUUACACAUGCAAGUCGAACGGUAGAGGGGGCAACCCCUCGAGAGUGGCGAACGGGUGAGUAAUAUAUCGGAACGUGCCCAGUCGUGGGGGAUAACGUAGCGAAAGUUACGCUAAUACCGCAUCCGAUCUAAGGAUGCAAGCGCGGGAUCGCAAGCCCUCGCGCGAUUGGAGCGGCCGAUAUCAGAUUAGGUAGUUGGUGGGGUAAAGGCUCACCAAGCCAACGAUCUGUAGCUUGUCUGAGAGGAUGACCAGCCACACUAGAACUGAGACACGGUCCAGACUCCUACGGGAGGCACCAGUGGGGAAUUUUGGACAAUGGACGCAAGUCUGAUCCAGCCAUUCCGCGUGCAGGAGGAAGGCCCUCGAGUUGUAAACUGCUUUUGUACGGAACGAAAAGGUCUCUCUUAAUACGGGGGGCUCAUGACGGUACCGUAAGAAUAAGCACCGGCUAACUACGUGCCAGCCGCCGCAGUAA